GGGCCCCGCUCACAGGUGGUUCUGACCCAGUCGGGGCCAGCGCUGAAGAAACCCGGAGAGUGCCAUAAACUGCAAUGUGUCAGCAGUGGGUUCACUCUGAGCAGCGCCUGGAUGGGCUGGAUCAGACAGGAGCACGGAAAGGGGCUGGAGUUGCUGGCUUGGUAUUACAAUGAGGGAAGCAAGUACUACGCCUCCUCCGUCCAGGGCCGAUUCACAGCCUCCAAGGACAGCACCAACUUCUACCUGCAAAUGACCAGUCUGAGAGCGGAGGACACCGCCGUGUAUUACUGCACGAGUCACACA